CAGCAGCCGCGGGAAUACGUAGGGUGCGAGCGUUAAUCGGAAUUACUGGGCGUAAAGCGUGCGCAGGCGGUUGUGUAAGACAGGUGUGAAAUCCCCGGGCUUAACCUGGGAACUGCGCUUGUGACUGCACAGCUAGAGUAUGGCAGAGGGGGGUGGAAUUCCACGUGUAGCAGUGAAAUGCGUAGAGAUGUGGAGGAACACCGAUGGCGAAGGCAGCCCCCUGGGCCAAUACUGACGCUCAUGCACGAAAGCGUGGGGAGCAAACAGGAUUAGAUACCCGAGUAGUCCCUGUCUCUUAUAA
rnacentral:rRNA from 1 species